rnacentral:rRNA from 1 species
CCUACGGUGAGCAGCAGUGGGGAAUAUUGCACAAUGGGGGAAACCCUGAUGCAGCGACGCCGCGUGAGUGAAGAAGUAAUUCGUUAUGUAAAGCUCUAUCAGCAGGGAAGAAAAUGACGGUACCUGAGUAUAAAGCCCCGGCUAACUACGUACAAGCAGCCCCGGUAAUACGUAGGGGGCAGGUGUUAUCCGGAUUUACUGGGUGUAAAGGGGGCGUAGACGGCAGUGCAAGGCUGGAGUGAAAGGCGGGGGCGCAACCCCCGGACUGCUCUGGAAACUGUACGGCUGGAGUGCAGGAGAGGUAAGUGGAAUUCCUAGUGUAGCGGUGAAAUGCGUAGAUAUUAGGAGGAACACCAGUGGCGAAGGCGGCUUACUGGACUGUAACUGACGUUGAGGCUCGAAAGCGUGGGGAGCAAACAGGAUUAGAUACCCCUGUAGUC